UACGUAGGGCGCAAGCGUUGUCCGGAAUUAUUGGGCGUAAAGGGCGCGUAGGCGGCCCGGUAAGUCAAAGGUGAAAUCCCUCGGCUCAACUGAGGAACUGCCUUUGAAACUGUCGGGCUUGAGGCCGGGAGGGGGUAGCGGAAUUCCCAGUGUAGCGGUGAAAUGCGUAGAUACUGGGAGGAACACCAGUGGCGAAGGCGGCUACCUGGACCGGUUCUGACGCUGAUGCGCGAAAGCGUGGGUAGCAAACAGG
rnacentral:rRNA from 1 species